CAGCAGGCGCGAAAACUUUACAAUGCCGGCAACGGCGAUAAGGGAACCUCGAGUGCCAGGUUACAAAUCUGGCUGUCGCGGUGCCUAAAAAGCACUGCAUAGCAAGGGCCGGGCAAGACCGGUGCCAGCCGCCGCGGUAACACCGGCGGCUCGAGUGGUAACCGUUAUUAUUGGGUCUAAAGGGUCUGUAGCCGGCCGGAUAAGUCUCUUGGGAAAUCCGGCAGCUCAACUGUCGGGCUUUCAGGAGAUACUGUCUGGCUCGAGGCCGGGAGAGGUGAGAGGUACUUCAGGGGUAGGGGUGAAAUCUUGUAAUCCUUGAAGGACCACCAGUGGCGAAGGCGUCUCACCAGAACGGACCUGACGGCAAGGGACGAAAGCUAGGGGCACGAACCGGAUUAGAUACCCGGGUAGUCCUAGCCGUAAACGAUACUCGCUAGGUGUCGGCCACGGUGCGACCGUGGUCGGUGCCGUAGGGAAGCCGUGAAGCGAGCCACCUGGGAAGUACGGCCGCAAGGCUGAAACUUAAAGGAAUUGGCGGGGGAGCAC
rnacentral:rRNA from 1 species